rnacentral:rRNA from 1 species
GAGUUUGAUCAUGGCUCAGAAUGAACGCUGGCGGCACGCUUAACACAUGCAAGUUGAACGAGAAAGUUCCUUCGGGAGCGAGUAAAGUAGCAAACGGGUGCGUAACACGUGAGAAUCUAUCCUGUAGAGGAGUAUACCCUGGGGAAACCCAGGUUAAUCCUGCAUAAGCUCGAAAGAGGAAAUGGUGGCAUUUUGCUACCGCUAUAGGGUGAGCUCGCGGCCUAUCAGCUAGUUGGUGAGGUAAUGGCUCACCAAGGCUACGACGGGUAUCCGGCUUGAGAGAGUGAACGGACACAUUGGGACUGAGAUACGGCCCAGACUCCUACGGGAGGCAGCAGUGGGGAAUAUUGCGCAAUGGGCGAAAGCCUGACGCAGCGAUGCCGCGUGAAGGACGAAGGCUUUAGGGUCGUAAACUUCUGUUAAGUGGGAAGAAAGACUCUUGGUUAAUAUCCAGGGGGGAUGACGGUACCACUGAAGAAAGUCCCGGCUAACUUCGUGCCAGCAGCCGCGGUAAUACGAGGGGGACUAGCGUUAUUCGGAAUCACUGGGCGUAAAGCGUGUGCAGGUGGUCUGUUAAGUCGAUUGUUAAAUUUUGUGGCCUAACCACGAAGCUGCAGUUGAUACUGGCAGGCUAGAGACUGGAAGAGAGGAGUGGAAUUCUCGGAGUAGCGGUAAAAUGCGUAGAUCUCGAGAGGAACACCGAUGGCGAAGGCAGCUCCUUGGUCCAAGUCUGACACUCAAACACGAAGGCGUGGGGAGCAAACAGGAUUAGAUACCCUGGUAGUCCACGCAGUAAACGAUGAUCACUAGUGUCAGGGGUUUUAAAUCCUCGGUGUCGAAGCUAACGCGAUAAGUGGUCCGCCUGGGGAGUACGGUCGCAAGACUAAAACUCAAAGGAAUUGANNGGGCCCGCACAAGCGGUGGAACAUGUGGGUUUAAUUCGAUAAUACGCGAGAAACCUUACCUGGNUUUGACAUGCAUUUGAAGGUCCGCUA